rnacentral:rRNA from 1 species
GGAGGGUGCAAGCGUUGUUCGGAAUUACUGGGCGUAAAGGGCGUGUAGGCGGCUUCGUAAGUCCUCUGUGAAAGCCCUCGGCUCAACCGAGGAACUGCAGAAGAAACUGCGGAGCUUGAGUCCGGGAGAGGAGAGCGGAAUUCCCAGUGUAGCGGUGAAAUGCGUAGAUAUUGGGAGGAACACCGGUGGCGAAGGCGGCUCUCUGGACCGGUACUGACGCUGAGACGCGAAAGCUAGGGGAGCAAACGGGAUUAGAUACCCCGGUAGUCCUAGCUGUAAACGAUGAGCACUUGGUGUGGCGGGUAUCGACCCCUGCCGUGCCGAAGCUAACGCAUUAAGUGCUCCGCCUGGGGAGUACGGCCGCAAGGCUG